rnacentral:rRNA from 1 species
GACGAACGCUGGCGGCGUGCUUAACACAUGCAAGUCGAGCGAGACCCCGCUUUCGGGUGGGUGUUCUAGCGGCGAACGGGUGAGUAACACGUGGGCAACCUGCCCUCAGCUCUGGGAUAACUCCAAGAAAUUGGGGCUAAUACCGGAUAUGACCGCUGACCGCAUGGUCUGGUGGUGGAAAGAUUUAUCGGCUGGGGAUGGGCCCGCGGCCUAUCAGCUUGUUGGUGGGGUAGUGGCCUACCAAGGCGACGACGGGUAGCCGGCCUGAGAGGGUGACCGGCCACACUGGGACUGAGACACGGCCCAGACUCCUACGGGAGGCAGCAGUGGGGAAUAUUGCGCAAUGGGCGAAAGCCUGACGCAGCGACGCCGCGUGGGGGAUGACGGCCUUCGGGUUGUAAACCUCUUUCAGCAGGGACGAAGCGAAAGUGACGGUACCUGCAGAAGAAGCACCGGCCAACUACGUGCCAGCCGCCGCGGUAA